UUGGAAUUAAUAGUGGCUUAUAAGAGGACGAGGCGGGUGUGGACGGGCGUAAAUAUUUAUAUCUGUCAGUCAAAACGGAUGAUGCCUUCGUUUCGAACAAGCAUGUUUAUAACAGGGAAAUGUUCAACAAAAAUUAAAAACUUCGUUUAUAGGCACACUUAAGCAAGAUGUUGAAGUACUCUUGCUGUUUGUAAAUAAUACAAAGCUGUAAUAAAUCACUUGCAAAAAGACUAACAGUUCGCAUCAAAUAGAACUAAAAAAAUAAAUGCAUACAUUCCAGAAUACA